UAGUCCACGCCGUAAACGAUGAUAACUAGCCGUUAGAUUUAUUCUAGUGUCGUAGCUAACGCGUUAAGCACCCCGCCUGGGGAGUACGGUCGCAAGAUUAAAACUCAAAUGAAUUGACGGGGGCCCGCACAAGCGGUGGAGCAUGUGGUUUAAUUCGAUGCAACGCGAAGAACCUUACCUACUCUUGACAUCCAGAGAAGCCAGCGGAGACGCAGGUGUGCCUUCGGGAGCUCUGAGACAGGUGCUGCAUGGCUGUCGUCAGCUUGUGUUGUGAAAUGUUGGGUUAAGUCCCGCAACGAGCGCAACCCUUAUCCUUGUUUGCCAGCGAGUAAUGUCGGGAACUCCAGGGANACUGCCGGUGAUAAACCGGGNGGAAGGUGGGACGACGUCAAGUCAUCAUGGCCUUACGAGUAGGGGCUACACACGUGCUACAAUGGGCGCAUACAGAGGGCAGCAAGCUAGCGAUAGUGAGCGAAU
rnacentral:rRNA from 1 species